GCUGGAAUCUCAGAGGCCAGUGUCCUGUAGCAGAGCCUUCCCUGUGAAAUGUUCCGCCGCCUUCGAAGGCUAGGUUGCUACCAGGAUCACACAGCACAGGUGGCCGAGCAGCCGCCCCAUGCUUCUCUGCUGAUUAUUGAAUUGCGCCUUCUGCACCUGCACAUCUUCUACAGGAUUCUCCAAGUGUAUCUUCCAGCAGUGCAGUUGCUGCAAGUCAUAACAAUACACAGAAACUCUUGGAAAACGCACCAAGUCUCACACUCAGGCGCUCCUGGAACCAUGAGCAGCAAUGGAACGGACCCAGCCAUCGGAUACAUCUGCUCCUCCAUAGCUAUCCUUUUGUUUGGCUCAAACUUUGUGCCACUGAAAAAAUGUGACACUGGGGAUGGUAUGUUUCUCCAGUGGAUCCUUUGUGCUGCCAUCUGGUUGGUUGCCUUGGUGGUCAACCUGAUACUGCAUUGCCCCAAGUUCUGGCCUCUUGCAAUGCUCGGGGGCUGCAUUUGGGCAACAGGGAACAUUGCUGUUGUCCCAAUUAUCAAAACCAUUGGUUUAGGCCUUGGAAUCUUAAUCUGGGGAUCAUUUAACGCCUUAACUGGCUGGGCAAGCUCAAGGUUUGGCUGGUUUGGAAUGGAUGCAGAAGAAGUACCCAAACCACUGCUGAAUUACACUGGAGCUGGGCUAUCAGUAGUAAGUGCUUUCAUAUUUUUGUUCAUCAAAAGUGAAAUACCGAAUAACACGUGUUCCGUGGAUACCACACCACUAAUAGCAGAGCAUGUGAUCAACACAGCUCAAGAUUCCUGUCCCAGUGAUUCCAGUGACUCCUGGGUGGAUAAGCUGUCUACAGUUCACCGCCGCCUAGUAGGUUGCAGUCUGGCCGUGAUAUCUGGAGUACUCUAUGGGUCUACAUUUGUGCCAAUCAUUUAUAUCAAGGACCACAGCAAAAGAAAUGAUAGCACGUAUGCAGGGGCAAGCCAGUAUGAUUUGGACUAUGUGUUUGCACACUUCAGUGGCAUCUUUCUUACAAGUACCGUCUACUUUCUGGCUUACUGUGUAGUCAUGAAAAAUAGUCCUAAACUGUAUCCUGAAGCAGUCUUACCAGGCUUCCUGUCGGAAGUGCUCUGGGCGAUAGCCACCUGCUGUUGGUUCAUAGCUAAUCACUCUCUAAGUGCCGUGGUCAGCUUUCCAAUCAUCACUGCUGGCCCAGGAUUUAUAGCUGCAAUGUGGGGUGUCUUCAUGUUUAAAGAAAUACAGGUGGAUAAUUCUCUGUUAAUCCAAAGAUGGACCGGGUUACCCCGGGAAGCGGCUGCUCUCCAUGGUCUCAGCUUUAAGAGCCCUGUCCCAUUCUUCACACCUCGCGCCACGUCUCCGCCUCAUCCUUGGGAAUCCUCUCCAGCCACCCACAUGCUCCUCAUCGCCCUUCCUCUGGAGCAUGCAGCCACUUUCUCCUGGGUCCCCUCGCCUCCGUGGGGUCCCUGGAGUCUGUCCACCAUCUCGCAGAAAUGUGUGGAUGAGCACAUCUGACCUGUUCACCGAAUGUGACUGCCUGCUCCCUUGGUGUCUUCCUGUGGCUUGGAAAGCAGAGCCCAGAGGGUCUGAAAAACUACUUAUUAAUGACACUUGCAUUCUGCAUCAUCGUGACCGCCGCGCUGUGCACUGCGUUUUCUAAACUCUGACGACACCCGGCCAGCAGAUGGCAGCAGUGCCCGCCAGAGCGAGCCCGGCUGCGAUGCGUUCCUUCACACACCUGCAGCCUCUGCACCGCUCCCGCCGUGGGGGAAGGAUUUUUCUUCUUCAGAGCAGCGUGAGAAUGAAGGAAAACUGAAUUUCUGCCAAGUACAAACAUGGAGGACUCCUCUGGCGAACUGUCUCUGAAGAAAGUUCGUCCCGGGUAACCUGAAGGUCUACAGUCCUGCACACUGCCACAGGCCGAGCCCAGUGAACGAGGUCCGGCCCGAGGCUCUGGCCGCAGCCUGGGGAGCGGGCACCGGGCUGCCUCACCGUGCAGUCAGACUGCACAGGCAGGUCUCUGCUAGAGGAAGGCAUGUCACAGUGGGUAACGACGUUAAAAAUGCCGCUUCAUUACUUUUUGCCAGAAUUUGUUUUUCCAAUUAAUGUUUCCCAAUUCCGUCCUAUCCACCCAUCUACGCUCAGAGUGCCUUUGAUUAUCUCCAGAUAAAGUCCGUCCUGAGAACACACACGCGUCACGCCAUGGGGAGUGUGUGCAUAUUAUAAACAGACACAGGUACACGCACAGGCAAGUACACACACGCCCAAACGGAGGGAAAUUCUACAGUUGCUAAGUGAGAUUUUUAGUUUAUCAGUGAUAAUUUGAGUGGACCAGUACUGCUUGAAUACACAUUUGUUUCCUGAAAUAGGCUUCUCUAGACAACCUUUUGCUGGCAGUUUUCCAGCUUUCAUUUUGUUUUUGUCUUCCUUUUUAACUGGUGGUUUCUAGUAGGCAAAAGAAAGUGGCAGACCUGCUGGUAGUAUUUCUCUAAGAAAUGUCUUUAAGAAAAGGGAAAUGGAACUGGGCUAGUGCACACGGUUUAUAGUAAGACCCCUAUUCAAGUAUGCGUUUCACUGCUUCCCACCUGACUCUGCUGGGGAACCAGCAGCUCCUACGGGCACGACCACUGAGGCGAGCCGGUGUGGACUUAAAUCCCACCUGUGCGCCACCUCAGCCGUGUGACUCGGGAAAAAGCCCAGAGCCCUCUGUAGCCGAUUCUUCAUCAAUAAAGUGCAUCACGAAGCUGUUGUGUGGGGCCAGCUGGUGGAAGACUGUAGAGUGUGUUCGUGAGUACUUGGCAGGUGUUCUAUCAUCGUGAGCUAUUAGGACGGCGUGCUGUUGGAGAUGUAGAAAAAUGUCUCUAGAUCAGAAAGUGCAUUGAAAAACUACUCCCCUCCCCGCUGAAACACUUAUUACUAUGAAUUCCUAAUAAAUAAUACUGGAGUCCCAUUAAUUAUUGAAUUAUUAAUGCAGAUACAUAUUUCACUGUAACUUCCUAUAAUCCUUUCAUUUUAAACUGAAAUGUCAUUAAAUUAUGCUGAUCAGUGGAAUAAACUGACAUGGUACAAAAGCUGUUUUUCUUGUUUAAAUGUAUGUUACAACCAUAAGGCCAGCGCUGUGGUGCCGUGAGUUAAUUUGCCACUUGAGAUGCUGGCAUGCCAUAUCAGAGCACCAGUUCAAAUCCCGGCUGCUACAUGUCUGAUCCAGCUUCCUGCUCACACGCCUAGGAAGGCUGCAGAUGAUGGCCCAAGUACCUGAGCCCCUACCACACGUGUAGAAGAUCAGUCUAGGGUUCUGGCUCCUGGCUUCAGCCAGGCCCAGACCUGGCUGUUGUAGCCAUUUGGGUAGCAAACCAGUGGACAGAUCUUGAUCUCUUUCCCCCGCCAUUCUGCCUUUCAAAUCACUAAAUCUCAUAUGUAUUACAUAUAUAUAUAUAUAUAUAUAUAAAAUUUUAUAGGCCGGCGCCGUGGCUCACUAGGCUAAUCCUCCGCCUUGCGGCGCCAGCACACCGGGUUCUAGUCCCGGUCGGGGCGCUGGAUUCUGUCCCGGUUGCCCCUCUUCCAGGCCAGCUCUCUGCUGUGGCCCGGGAGUGCAGUGGAGGAUGGCCCAAGUCCUUGGGCCCUGCACCCCAUGGGAGACCAGAAGAAGCACCUGGCUCCUGGCUUUGGAUCAGCACAGUGCACCAGCUGCAGCGCACCGGCUGUGGCGGCCAUUGGAGGGUGAACCAACGGCAAAGGAAGACCUUUCUCUCUGUCUCUCUCACUGUCCACUUUGCCUGUCAAAAAAAAAAAAAAAGAAUUUUAUAGAUAUUUGCAUUAUUCUUUAGCUUGAGAUUGCCAACCUAUAUGCAAAAUUAAUUGUGGAGUAAAGCAGUUAAGAAAAAUGGGGAGGGGAAGGUCACAUUAAUAGUGUACAGUUUCUGCUGCCACCCAGUAGCUGCAAUGUUGGUAGCAGAUGACAUUCCAAACUCAAAGCCCCCUUGCGAUGUUUCCUCGUUCUUUCCCUGAAAGUUCCUGCAUUUUUUGCUUUAACAGUAGGUCUGAUCAUUUAUUUUAAGUUUCUGCUUUCUUAGGAAAACUGCAGAGGGCACCAGCACCCUUCCACGCCCCUCUAGGGAAACUGCCUCUCCUACCUGAGCAUGAAACUGUCCAGACGCCUGCUCCAGGAAGUGGACUGGAGUCAUGUUCUCUAGCCUGCUGCCUGGCAUUAAACCUUAUUUUCUCAAAGACCAGCAUCACAGAGUGUGUGUGUGUGUGUGUGUGUGUGUGUGUGUGUCUGUGUCUGUGUGUCUGUGUCUCAUGACAGUAUGACCCCUGCUCCAGGAAGUGGACUGGAGUCAUGUUCUAUAUCUUACUGCCCGACAUUAAACCUUUUCUCAAAGACCAGCAUCACAGAUUGUGUGUGUGUGUGUGUGUGUGUGUGUGUAUGUCUCAUGACAGUAUCAGUAAGAUCAGUGUGGAGGAGACAAACCAAACAGCUGAUGAUUUAGAGGUCAAAAAAAGGACAGGUGGCAAAUCUCCCUUGGUUUGCUGAGCCUGCAAAGUUAAUGCUGAACUUUCUUGAGGUUUUGAAAGUUUACUUUUUACUGGUUUAGCGUGCCUAAUUCUUUCAAUAUUUCUGCAUCUUAUCUCAUCAAGUGGCACCUAACACUGCCUGCCAUCUUGUGGCCAGAUAGGGCACUACAAUUUUAAGCUACAAGUGGAACCUUUGAGGCCCCAUUCAGGCCAUGGGAACUUCCUAAGAUAGAAACAGCAAAUCCUACUAUGUUUUAGGACUGAUAGUACAGCACUUCUACUGAAUUACCUUCUUUACUCUGCUUGCACUGAUUUAUCUGUAUGUACAUCUACUAUACCUAUCUGUAUUCAUAGUAAUAAAAUGGAAAACCUUUUGAGUAAAAAGGAAGUUGUAGAGAACCAUGCACAUAGUAUGAUACCAGUUAGGUAAAAUUUGAGUAACCAAAGUCAUAUAUAGCCUCUAUAAAUACAUAUUUCUGUAAAAAAUUGAAGAUCCACAUCAGAUUCCUAAGUGAUGGCUUUUUUUUUUUUAUAAAGACUUAUUUAUUUAUUUGAAAGUCAGAGUUAGAGAAGGAGAGGCAGAGAGAGAGAGAGAAAGAGAAAGAGGUCUUCCAUCCACUGGGUCACUCCCCACUUGGCCACAAUGUCUAGAGCUGUGCUGAUCCAAAGCCAGGAGCCAGGAGCUGCUUCUAGGUCUCGCACGUGGGUUCAGGGGCCCAAGGACUUGGGCCAUCUUCCACGGCUUUCUCAGGCCAUAGCAGAGAGCUGGAUUGGAAGUGGAGCAGCCGGCACUCAAACUGGUGCCCAUGUGGGGUGCCAGCACUGCAGGUGGUAGCUUUACCUGCUGCUCCACAGCACCAGCCCCUACAUUCACAUUACUUUUAUUAUGGAAUGCUGAUAAUGUUUAUUGUAUUUUAUCAUUGUUACUUUCUUACUAUGCCUAAUUUAUAAAUGAAACUUCACCAUACGUUUGUGUUAUAGGAAUAAAUAUUAUGUGUACAAGGUUCAGAACUCUGUGCAUUGCAGGCAUCCUCCGGGGAUCUUGGAAGAUAUCCCCUGAUGAUAUGGGGGGACUACUAUAGUUUGAAAUAAAAGAAUAUUCUAUCUCGCCCUCCUAGAGAAAGACAAAAGAACAGAUCUGCACUGAAUUUUAUGAAAAAAUUUUUGGAGAAAAAAAUUAAAUGCUUAAAGCCAAUCUGUUUAAAUGGAAUUAUUAUGGUGAAAAAUAAUAACUGGGUGUUCUCUCUCUCCUUUGGCUGAGAGCACUCAACUUUCACACUAAAUCACUUCCCAGAGGUUGGUAGUCAGGUCUGUUUUCACUGCAGAACCUGAAGAUUAAUUAUUUCUUGCUCUGGUAAUAACUUCUCUGACUCAGUUCAUGUCAACAAGAUACUCUGGAAACAAAACAUGUUUUCUGAAACACUUUACAUAACACAGCUUUAUAGAUCUGCCUUUCACAUCUAAGUUCUUAGUGUAGGAAAUUAACUUCAAGCAAUUUUUCCAUCCAAAAUGGAUAUCAUCUUCCUUUUCUCCAAAAUAUUUGAACUUUAUAUUGGCACAUAUCCAUGUGACAGUUAAAAUUACUGUGAACCCUUGGAGAGUUCAAGUUGUAUUCUUCUUUAUAUCAGGAACCUAGCCCAGUGCAAGGCACACAAAAGAUAAAGAGUGGCUUUUUCGGUUUUGAUUUUUUUUUCUGGUGUACUCUGAAGACCAUUUAAAAUUGUUAUCCAGAAUGUAUUAACCAAUGAUUCUGUUAAAACAAUUCCUUAGUACUGAGUCAUAGCCAUGAAUAUUCACUGAAUGGUUUCUUUGCAUCUGGGGUUAGGCAGUAGGUGAGAUAUUAGGUUAAGACAGUAAAGCAGUCAUAGAACUUAAUCAGAAAAUCCCAAAGAAAUCACAUUAAAAUCUUAGAGGCCAGAGGAGUAAGCAGCAUUUGGAAUGCCGGCAUGCCAUAUCCAAGUGCCAGUUCCAGUCCCAGCUAUUCCACCUCUGAUCCAGCUCCCCACUAAUGGAUCCUGGGAGGCAGCAGUGAUGUAGGCCCCUGCCGUCUACAUGGGACAUCCAGAUGGAGUUCCUACCUCCUGGCUUCAGCCUGGCCCAGCCUGAGAUGCUGGGCCUCUGGGUUGAAAACCAGUGGACACAAGCUCCCCGCCGUGCUGUCUCUGUCUGUCUCUCUCCCUUUCCAGCUCUGCCUUCCAAGUAGAUGAAAAUAAGUAAACAUUAAAAAAUAAUAAUCAGUAGCCUUAAAAAAUAAAUUAAUAUUACAGAAUGCAAGAACCAGCUGCUAAGGGGAAGUACAUAAAAGUGAAGCCAUAAAAUAAAGCUUUAGCUACAUUAAUCGCUCAUGAAACCCAAGAGACAUGUAAAGCAACUUCCUAUUCUGAUGGUAUAAGAAAGAAAAGAAGACCACUGAUUGCACUGUUUGUAAUUUACUGAGUUUUUUUUAAUCAUGCAUGGAUACUACAUGUUGAAAAAAGUCCUUCAGCAUGUUUUGAUACUCAUACAGCUUUUCUUGUUACUGUUAAUAUAGUGAAUUACACUGACUACUUUUCAAAUGUUUAUCUUGCAUUAUUGUGGUAAACAAUUUUAUCAAGAUGUAUUAUCUUUCACAUGUAUUCUUUUCGUUUGCUUUGGUAUUCAUGAAGGUAUUCCUCUGUUAUAUCAGAAUAGGACUGGCUUCAAAAGGUCUAAGAAUUGAUAUUAUUCCUUAAGUAGGUGAUGUAUUCCAUCAGUGAAGUCAUCUGGGGCUAGUUUUUUAAAAUAAAUAUAGGGUUCUCAGGUUAUGUAUUUCUUCUUGAGUGAGCGUUCCUUGUUGGUGUCUUUCAAAGGAAAUUGAAAACAGAAAUUUCAAAGGAAAUUUCAUGUACGUUAUACAUAUUUUUGGCAGAAGGCUCAUAAUAUUUCAUUAUUAUUCAUUUAAUAUUUUUGGUAUCUGGAGUGAUGUCCACUUUCUGAGUCCUGGUACUGGUCAUUUAUUUUUUCUGUCUUGUUCCUGAACGCUUUAACUAAAAAUUUACUUAUUUUCUUGACUUAGUUAAUGAAUUAGGUUUCCUUGAGGUUCUUCUUUCGUCUUCUAUUAACUUACAUUCUUCUCUACUGUUUUUGCUGCCUCCUUUGCAACUUACUUGCACCUACUUUUAUUCCCUUUCCCUUUCUUCUAGAACUCCAGCUACACAUGUAUUAGAUCGGAAUUUUUCCCACGGCUCUCUGAUCCUCUUUAUUCUUUAUUCAGCUUUUUUCUUUCUGGUUCAUUUUGUGCAGUAUCUCUUGCUCUUUCUCCAGUGUUUCAUGUAUUGUUAACCCCAUUCAAUAUAGUUUUCAUUUUCCCACCAGUGGAAAUUUACUAGGAUUGCUUUUCUAUUUUCAGUGUCUGUCUUAACAUCCUUAAGCUGUCUCCUCCUUAUCCAACAUGUGGAGUGGGAUUGUAAUUGCUGCUCUCCUGCCGUUGUCUGCUAGUUCUUUAAUCUAUACCAGUUUCUAAAUUGAUUUUCCUACUCAUUGUUGGUCAUAGUUUCUGCUACUUUGUAUACCAUGGGGGUUUCGUUUCGAAGCUGCAUGCUGAGAAUUCGGUUACUGGGUGCUACACUUGGUGCCCUUCUGUGAUUCAGAGCUGUGUUCUGGGACCCGUGUGGUUACUUCAGUACAGUCUUUUCUUACCCAUGUCCCAGCAACCUGCAAAUUAUGCAGAGCACUUCAAUAAAAGACAUUUUCUACAUAAAA